rnacentral:sRNA from 21 species
CAACAGCUGAAAGGAGGUGAUCCAGUGUCUCAUAGUUCCACCCGUAGUUCGGUGACCGUGACCUGGGCCUCCGCGUUUGAGGUCCGCGCCUAAGUCAUUGCUUCGGCAACAGGUUCGGAACCCGCACUGCGGACCGACUAUGGAAGGGCCGCCCCGACGAGGGGCGGCCCU